UGAAUUAAUGUGAACUGCAACCUGCCAUGAACAUCGACAACUUGAUGCACAUUGCGGCCAUGGGUUAGCCUGUGGCCACGCCUGUCCGAGAGUCGG
rnacentral:rRNA from 1 species